AAGCUUGAAGAGUCGACCCUUAUUAAAAAUGAGUUGACCCCCGAAAUUGAAGAGUCGACCCUUGCGUUUGAAGAGUCGACCCUUGUUCAGUCUCAGCGCCGGCUGAAAAACUAAAGAUGAGCCGACUCUUGUGUUUAAAGAAGCGACUCCUAAUGAAGAUGAGUCGACCCUUGUAUUUGAAGAGGCGACUCCUGAUUAAGAUGAGCCGACCCUUAAGAAUUAAGAGUCGACCCUUUGAGGAUGACACAGCAAAAGCCUUUUCGACUAUUUGAAGUGUCGAUCCAGAAUGAACAUGAGUCGACCCCUAAGCUACAUGAGUCGACCCUUGUACUGCUGGGACCAUAACGGAAAGCUGUGAACGACUUUUGUCUUCUUCUGUAACAGAAAAAGAUUCUCAUCAGAACGGGAAGAAAGGAAUUCAAAUCCCACCGAAGAAUUUGUCUAUAAAUACGAGGGAAGCUCAGAAUGGAAACAAAGAGGAAAGGAAAAAGAUUAUAUAAGAAAACAAAAAGGUUUCCACUGAGAAAAAGAGAGUAGAAAAGCUUAACAGUUCAUCAUCCUCACCGGCACUGAAUCUAAAACUUUCUCCUGUGAGGAAAUCAGUCGAAACUUCUCACUACAUUGUGAAGAGCUGCUGUUCGGACAUUGAACAUCCUUCCACAGCCAACUUCUUCAUCAGCUUCAGCUUUUAUUUUCAUUGAUUUACUCAUUAUAUUCUGAAGCUUUGAGUUUUUUUAGUUACAACAGUCUUUUAGUUGGAUUAAUUGUUGCUGUAACAGUUUCAUUGAUUAGAAACUUGUAAAGGCUCUUCCAAGCCUCGAUUGGAAGUUGCUGAAUAGGGAAUAUUCAGUAAGGAAAAAGUUUCUAG
rnacentral:lncRNA from 1 species